rnacentral:lncRNA from 1 species
AUGAAUUUGUUUCCUAAUACCGAGAUCACGCACAAUCUCAUUUGGAUUAAAUUCAUUGGCUCCAUUAGGCGGUGGUUCUUCUACUUCGGCUUCCGAUUGCACAACAUUCACAUUCUGAAUACUUGUUCUAUCAACCAAGUGAGGAGGGUAUAUAUAUUGAAGAGUCCAAUGUGAAUGUUCUAUGAAUGUGAAUGUUCUUCUACUUGUUCUAUGAAUGAUUUUCUUGUUAUUCAAAUGACAGGGACCUUUUAAAUCAUUCAUGCCAUACCAUUUCUUGUUGCAGUGCUAAACAAGAAAAAC